GGUCAACAGAAGGCAAAUCUCCAACGACACACAGCAACAUAAGCUUUGCAAACUUCUCUUGCCACACCCAGCUUAACUAACUUACCAAGACACUGAUGUUUAUUUGAGCUCUCUGAAGUUUUAAUCAUAUUUACAGAUCAACCUGAUGAAACUCAGUUACUUAUGGCUGACUACUGUUAUUGCUGACCCACAGCCUUGUGUUGCCAGGCACUGACAACCGUUCUUCAAGGCCGGAGUUACUGUUUGGUCCUGAAAUUCUCAACUGUAACACAAGAGCCACCUGAGAGCUGAUGUAUCGAGGAGGUACCCUGGAAACAUUUUGUGAUGCUGACCACCUGCUAAGCCACAGAAAUGCUGGCUUCAAACACCAGUAAAAGACUUUGAAAAGGAACAGGCGUGGCUCUAAUUUCCAUCAUACUGCUGCACUAACUCCCCUGAAAUUGGGAUCAAAGAUCCAGCCUGGGGAAGAGCUGCUUUACUUUUCCCCCCAUCCUUUUACUCUCCCUGGUUUUAUUACCCAUGUGUAAAUUAAAAGCCCAGUUUGCUUGCUGCUCUGUGGAAA